rnacentral:rRNA from 1 species
AGAGUUUGAUCCUGGCUCAGGACGAACGCUGGCGGCGUGCUUAACACAUGCAAGUCGAACGAGACGAUUGAAAGCUUGCUUUUGAAAGUCGAGUGGCAAACGGGUGAGUAACGCGUAGACAACCUGCCGUAAAGAUGGGGACAACAGUCCGAAAGGACUGCUAAUACCGAAUGUUGUAAGUCUUCCGCAUGGAAGACUUACUAAAGGUGGCCUCUACUUGUAAGCUAUCGCUUUACGAUGGGUCUGCGUCUGAUUAGCUGGUUGGUGGGGUAACGGCCUACCAAGGCGACGAUCAGUAGCCGGUCUGAGAGGAUGAACGGCCACAUUGGAACUGAGACACGGUCCAGACUCCUACGGGAGGCAGCAGUGGGGAAUCUUCCGCAAUGGGCGCAAGCCUGACGGAGCAACGCCGCGUGAGUGAAGAAGGGUUUCGACUCGUAAAGCUCUGUUGUCGGGGACGAACGUGGAGACGGCGAAUAGCCGUUUCCAAUGACGGUACCUGACGAGGAAGCCACGGCUAACUACGCGCCAGCAGCCGCGGUAAUACGUAGGUUGCAAGCGUUGUCCGGAUUUACUGGGUGUAAAGGGCGUGUAGGCGGAGAUGCAAGUUGGGAGUGAAAUCCAUGGGCUCAACCCAUGAACUGCUCUCAAAACUGUAUCCCUUGAGUAUCGGAGAGGCAAGCGGAAUUCCUAGUGUAGCGGUGGAAUGCGUAGAUAUUAGGAGGAACACCAGUGGCGAAGGCGGCUUGCUGGACGACAACUGACGCUGAGGCGCGAAAGCGUGGGGAGCAAACAGGAUUAGAUACCCUGGUAGUCCACGCUGUAAACGAUGAAUACUAGGUGUGGGAGGACUGACCCCUUCCGUGCCGCAGUUAACACAAUAAGUAUUCCACCUGGGGAGUACGACCGCAAGGUUGAAACUCAAAGGAAUUGACGGGGGCCCGCACAAGCAGUGGAUUAUGUGGUUUAAUUCGACGCAACGCGAAGAACCUUACCAGGAUUUGACAUCCAACUAACGAAGUAGAGAUACAUCAGGUACCCUUCGGGGGAAGUUGAGACAGGUGGUGCAUGGUUGUCGUCAGCUCGUGUCGUGAGAUGUUGGGUUAAGUCCCGCAACGAGCGCAACCCCUAUUGUUAGUUGCUACGAAAGAGCACUCUAGCGAGACUGCCGUUGACAAAACGGAGGAAGGCGGGGACGACGUCAAAUCAUCAUGCCCCUUAUGUCCUGGGCUACACACGUAAUACAAUGGCGGUCAACAGAGGGAAGCAAAGCCGCGAGGUGGAGCAAAUCCCUAAAAGCCGUCUCAGUUCGGAUUGCAGGCUGCAACUCGCCUGCAUGAAGCUGGAAUUGCUAGUAAUCGCGGAUCAGCAUGCCGCGGUGAAUACGUUCCCGGGCCUUGUACACACCGCCCGUCACACCAUGAGAGUCGGGAACACCCGAAGUCCGUAGUCUAACCGCAAGGAGGGCGCGGCCGAAGGUGGGUCCGGUAAUUGGGGUGAAGUCGUAACAAGGUA